UACAGAGGUCUCAAGCGUUGUUCGGAUUCAUUGGGCGUAAAGGGCUCGUAGGCGGCCAACUAAGUCAGACGUGAAAUCCCUCAGCUUAACUGGGGAACUGCGUCUGAUACUGGAUGGCUUGGAUUCGGGAGAGGAAUGCGGAAUUCCAGGUGUAGCGGUGAAAUGCGUAGAUAUCUGGAGGAACACCGGUGGCGAAGGCGGCAUUCUGGACCGACAUUGACGCUGAGGAGCGAAAGCCAGGGGAGCAAACGGG
rnacentral:rRNA from 1 species